UCUCUGAUAGUAUAUCGGUCAGUACACCCGCCUGUCAGGAAGCAGCCCGCGGGAGAGCGGAGUUCGAUUCUCCGUCAGAGAG
rnacentral:tRNA from 2 species